rnacentral:other from 1 species
CAGUUUCUGAAGUACUCGCCAGUUUAUGGCAUACCUGAGCUGAUAAUUUACUUUAGGGUUGCAUGCUAAUUGUUUGUUGUGUAUGCCUGCAUCGGUAUGAUGUAUCAGGAAACCUUAAAAAUAAUUGUGCGAUCCGCCUUUGAACAUGACAGUUCAUGGGUUCACAUAGACAGCGGUACUUUGGUUUUUGC